GAGAUGGCUCAGUGGUUAAGGGCACUGACUGCUCUUCAGAAUGGUCCUGAGUUCAAAUCCCAGCAAUCACA
rnacentral:tRNA from 1 species